AUAUUUUUAUUCUAUGCAUUUCCAUAGAUUAUGUGCAAAAUAGUUCUCAAAAUCUUUAUUUUCUUCGGCCAAAUAUCGACCUUCUAAUCACUUCUCCUUUUAUCUGCAUCACAGGUGUUCUAACUUGAACUGACUCUUUUUCGAUGACGUUUAUUGUUGAAAUAAACUGUCUUUCAUGACCCGUGUAUUGUCGACAUAUUAUAGCCAUUAUCUUGAUUCUUGCAUAACUCCUCUUCGGCCUUGUUCGUGGCUGUUCGGCCUUGUUCGUGGCUGUUCAACUGAUAAAUGAUAGCAUUAUCAAGUAAAAAGGAAACAAAUUACAAGUCUCGUGCCGAUCGGAAUGUUUCUUUUCUUCUCUUCGGUUAUCCUUUCACUGAAUGUGACGCAAUGCUUUGAUUGGAUAAGACGGUCAACCCCUUUUGAAUAAAUUUUAAUUCUAAUUUUGUUUGCAUGGAAACUUUGACAAAACACUUCCCCGAAGACAGUUUAAAUUCAUUUUGAUAGAUGUUAAGAUCUCUUUUGUUGCCAAACACCUAGAAAUGAGAUUUUAAUUUUCGUUUUCACUGAAGCUCGCGUUCGUUUUUAUAACGGUUGACUUCUUUUGUAAAUU
rnacentral:lncRNA from 1 species